rnacentral:rRNA from 1 species
CAGGUGGUGCAUGGUUGUCGUCAGCUCGUGUCGUGAGAUGUUGGGUUAAGUCCCGCAACGAGCGCAACCCUUAAGCUUAGUUGCCAUCAUUAAGUUGGGCACUCUAAGUUGACUGCCGGUGACAAACCGGAGGAAGGUGGGGAUGACGUCAAAUCAUCAUGCCCCUUAUGAUUUGGGCUACACACGUGCUACAAUGGACA